rnacentral:rRNA from 1 species
AUUGAACGCUGGCGGCAGGCCUAACACAUGCAAGUCGAGCGAGCGGCGGACGGGUGAGUAAUGUUUGGGUAUCUGCCCGAUAGAGGGGGAUAACUACUGGAAACGGUAGCUAAUACCGCAUACUAUCGGUUGCCCCCAUAUGGGAUUAGCUAGUAGGUGGGGUAAAGGCUCACCUAGGCGACGAUCUCUAGCUGGUCUGAGAGGAUGACCAGACACAAAGGGACGUAGACACGGCCCAGACUCCUACGGAAGGCAGCAGUGGGGAAUAUAGCACAAUGGGCGCAAGCCUGAUAAAGCCAUGCCGCGUGUAUGAAGAAGGCCUUAGGGUUGUAAAGUAAUUUCAGCGGGGAGGCGUUACCCGCAGAAGAAGCACCGGCUAACUCCGUGCCAGCAGCCGCGGUAAUAC